rnacentral:rRNA from 1 species
AACGAACGCUGGCGGCAUGCCUAACACAUGCAAGUCGAACGAGACCUUCGGGUCUAGUGGCGCACGGGUGCGUAACGCGUGGGAACCUGCCCUUAGGUUCGGAAUAACUCCCCGAAAGGGGUGCUAAUACCGGAUAAUGUCUUCGGACCAAAGAUUUAUCGCCUUUGGAUGGGCCCGCGUUGGAUUAGCUAGUUGGUAGGGUAAAAGCCUACCAAGGCGACGAUCCAUAGCUGGUCUGAGAGGAUGAUCAGCCACACUGGGACUGAGACACGGCCCAGACUCCUACGGGAGGCAGCAGUGGGGGAUAUUGGACAAUGGGCGAAAGCCUGAUCCAGUAAUGCCGCGUGAGUGAUGAAGGCCUUAGGGUUGUAAAGCUCUUUUACCCGGGAUGAUAAUGACAGUACCGGGAGAAUAAGCUCCGGCUAACUCCGUG